ACAUAUUCGGAGGGCACUUCUUCGUCAAGUCUUUAAACCUCUCCCAAGCCUCAUACAGUAUUUCACCAUCUUGCUGCUUGAAGGUUUGUACCUCAGUUCUCAAUCU